UGAGACACGCUGUCCACAGUGUGUUUGAUAAGCUGCCAUGGGACAGGAUUCCUUUUCACUGUUGUGUCAGUUUAUCAAACCGUACUUGGACAUA
rnacentral:pre_miRNA from 1 species